AGUGAACGCUGGCGGCGUGCCUAAUACAUGCAAGUCGAACGGAGUGGCGCACGGGGGAGUAAUGUAUCGCUAAUCUGCUCUCCACUAGAGGACAACAGUUGGAAACGGCUGCUAAUACUCCAUAGUGUAGGAUGAGGCUAUAUUGUAUCAGCUAGUUGGUGAGGUAAUGGCUCACCAAGGCUAUGACGCAUAACUGGUCUGAGAGGAUGAUCAGUCGAACUGGAACAGAGACACGGUCCAGGUUCCUACGGGAGGCAACAGUAGGGAAUAUUGCUCACUGGGGGAGACCCUUAAGCACCAUCACCGCGUGGAGGAUGACCCUUUUCGGAGCGUCAACUCCUUUUGUUAGGGAAGCGGUACCGAACGAAUAAGCACCGGCUAACUCCGUGCCAGCAGCCGCGGUAAUAC
rnacentral:rRNA from 1 species